rnacentral:rRNA from 1 species
AUUGAACGCUGGCGGCAUGCUUUACACAUGCAAGUCGAACGGUAACAGGGAGCUUGCUCCGCUGACGAGUGGCGAACGGGUGAGUAAUGCGUCGGAACGUGCCGAGUAGUGGGGGAUAACGCAUCGAAAGGUGUGCUAAUACCGCAUACGUACUGAGGUAGAAAGUGGGGGACCUUCGGGCCUCACGCUAUUCGAGCGGCCGACGUCUGAUUAGCUAGUUGGUGAGGUAAAGGCUCACCAAGGCGACGAUCAGUAGCGGGUCUGAGAGGAUGACCCGCCACACUGGGAGUGAGGCACGGCCCAGGCUCCGACGGGAGGCAGCAGUGGGGAAUUUUGGACAAUGGGCGCAAGCCUGAUCCAGCCAUGCCGCGUGUCUGAAGAAGGCCUUCGGGUUGUAAAGGACUUUUGUCCGGGAGCAAAUGCUGGUGGCUAACAUCCACCGGAGCUGAGAGUACCGGAAGAAUAAGCACCGGCUAACUACGUGCCAGCAGCCGCCGUAACAC